rnacentral:rRNA from 1 species
GGGACUGAUUGAUUCCUUCGGGAUGAGCGUCAGGGGAUUCAGCGGCGGACGGGUGAGUAACACGUGGGCAACCUGCCCCUCAGACUGGGAUAACAUCGAGAAAUCGGUGCUAAUACGGGAUAAUUUUCGGGAUCGCAUGAUCCCGUUAUAAAAGAUGGCUUCGGCUAUCACUGGGGGAUGGGCCCGCGGCGCAUUAGCUAGUUGGUGAGGUAGAGGCUCACCAAGGCGACGAUGACUUUGCCGACCUGAGAGGGUCGAUCGGCCACACUGGGACUGAGACACGGCCCAGACUCCUACGGGAGGCAGCAGAUAGGGAAUCUUCCGCAAUGGACGAAAGUCUGACGGAGCAACGCCGCGUGAGUGAUGAUGGGUUUCGGCUCGUAAAGCUCUGUUGUCAGGGAAGAACAAGUACCGUUCGAAUAGGGCGGUACCUUGACGGUACCUGACCAGAAAGCCACGGCUAACUACGUGCCAGCAGCCGCGGUAUAUACGUAGGUGGCAAGCGUUGUCCGGAAUUAUUGGGCGUAAAGCGCGCGCAGGCGGUUUCUUAAGUGCUGAUGUGAAAGCCCCCGGCUCAACCGGGGAGGGUCAUUGGAAACUGGGAGACUUGAGUGCAGAAGAGGAGAGUGGAAUUCCACGUGUAGCGGUGAAAUGCGUAGAUAUGUGGACGGAAAACCAGUGGCGAAGGCGACUCUCUGGUCUGAUAAC